UACGUAGGUGGCAAGCGUUGUCCGGAUUUAUUGGGCUUAAAGGGUGCGUAGGCGGUCGAUUAAGUCAGUGGUGAAAUACUUCAGCUUAACUGGAGAGGUGCCAUUGAUACUGGUUGACUUGAGUACUGAUGAGGUAGGCGGAAUGGACGGUGUAGCGGUGAAAUGCUUAGAUAUCGUCCAGAACACCGAUAGCGAAGGCAGCUUACUAAGGAGUAACUGACGCUGAGGCACGAAAGUGUGGGGAUCAAACAGG
rnacentral:rRNA from 1 species